rnacentral:tRNA from 1 species
GCCCCUGUAGCUCAACGGAUAGAGUAUCGGUCUUCGAAACCGGUGAUCCAAGUUCGAUUCUUGGCGGGGGCAUCA